rfam:Schistosoma rodhaini strain Burundi genome assembly, scaffold: SROB_scaffold0000926
AUCCAGUUAACGAGUCUCAAACCUGACGAAACGCGCGUCCUGGAU